AGGACGAACGCUGGCGGCGUGCUUAACACAUGCAAGUCGAGCGGAAAGGCCCUUCGGGGUACUCGAGCGGCGAACGGGUGAGUAACACGUGAGCAACCUGCCCUUAGCUCUGGGAUAGCUCCGGGAAACCGGAAUUAAUACCGGAUAUGACCUAGGCCGACAUCGGCCGUGGUGGAAAGUUUUUCGGCUAGGGAUGGACUCGCGGCCUAUCAGCUAGUUGGUGGGGUAAUGGCCUACCAAGGCGACGACGGGUAACCGGCCUGAGAGGGCGACCGGCCACACUGGGACUGAGACACGGCCCAGACUCCUACGGGAGGCAGCAGUGGGGAAUCUUGCGCAAUGGGCGAAAGCCUGACGCAGCGACGCCGCGUGGGGGAUGAAGGCCUUCGGGUUGUAAACCCCUUUCAGCAGGGACGAAGCGAAAGUGACGGUACCUGCAGAAGAAGCGCCGGCUAACUACGCGCCAGCAGCCGC
rnacentral:rRNA from 1 species